rnacentral:rRNA from 1 species
GACAGAGGGUGCGAACGUUGUUCGGAAUUACUGGGCGUAAAGCGCAUGUAGGCGGCAGCGCAAGUCGGGCGUGAAAUCCCACGGCUCAACCGUGGAAGUGCACUCGAAACUGCGCAGCUAGAGUCCUGGAGAGGAAGGUGGAAUGCUUGGUGUAGAGGUGAAAUUCGUAGAUAUCAAGCGGAACACCGGUGGCGAAGGCGGCUCACUGGCCCGAUACUGACGCUGAGGCACGAAAGCGUGGGGAGCAAACAGG